UACGUAGGGAGCGAGCGUUGUCCGGAAUUACUGGGCGUAAAGGGCGCGUAGGCGGCCGAUUAAGUUAGAUGUGAAAAACCGGGGCUCAACUCCGGGAUGGCAUUUAAGACUGGUCGGCUUGAGGGUGAGAGAGGAAAGUGGAAUUCCUAGUGUAGCGGUGAAAUGCGUAGAUAUUAGGAGGAACACCAGUGGCGAAGGCGACUUUCUGGCUCAUACCUGACGCUGAGGCGCGAAAGCGUGGGGAGCAAACAGGAUUAGAUACCCUGGUAGUCCACGCCGUAAACGAUGAGUACUAGGUGUAGGAGGUAUCGACCCCUUCUGUGCCGCAGCUAACGCAUUAAGUACUCCGCCUGGGGAGUACGGUCGCAAGACUGAA
rnacentral:rRNA from 1 species